rnacentral:rRNA from 1 species
AUACGGAGGGUGCAAGCGUUACUCGGAAUCACUGGGCGUAAAGCGCGCGCAGGCGGCUAUUUAAGUUGGAUGUGAAAGCCUACGGCUCAACUGUAGAACUGCAUCCAAAACUAUUUAGCUAGAGUGUGGGAGAGGAAGAUGGAAUUAGUUGUGUAGGGGUAAAAUCCGUAGAGAUAACUAGGAAUACCAAAAGCGAAGGCAAUCUUCUGGAACACUACUGACGCUGAGGCGCGAAAGCGUGGGGAGCAAACAGGAUUAGAAACCCUAGUAGUCC